UAACAGAGAAGUUUCUUUUAGGUUUUCACAAACUCCUCCUCAGAGUCUUUAUGAUAUUUAUGAAAGCAAAACUCUCAUUGACAGAUUUAUUUUGACUUCAGUGUGAAUUUAAAACAGAUCAUGAGGUGGAUCAGGAAUAUAUUUCUAUUUGCACUCUUCAGUCUUGAGUGCAGAUCAGAAGAGAAAGUUGAUCAGCCAGACAAACAUGUGACUGAAGCUGAAGGAAGAUCAGUGACAUUAGAUUGUUCAUAUACAACAGCUUCAGCAGGGCCAAACCUCUUCUGGUACAUCCAGAGAGCGAAUGACUUUCCUAAAUACAUCCUGAGAAGAGACAAGUUUGGAACUGGAGAAAAUGGCACUGAGUUCCAGGAGAGAUUUCACUCUGAACUUUCAUCAAAUUCAGUUCCUCUGAAGAUCAAGGAUCUGCGUGUGUCUGACUCUGCUGUGUAUUACUGUGCUCUGAAGCCCACUGUGACAAAACUGAAGUCAAACCACAUACAAAAACACAAGCAUAAACAUAAUGUGACUAUGUUCUCAGAGAGGAGGGACUCAGAGUUCACAGAUCUGACAUGA